rnacentral:rRNA from 1 species
GCCUACGGGGCGCAGCAGUCGAGAAUCAUUCACAAUGGGGGAAACCCUGAUGGUGCGACGCCGCGUGGGGGAAUGAAGGUCUUCGGAUUGUAAACCCCUGUCAUGUGGGAGCAAAUUAAAAAGAUAGUACCACAAGAGGAAGAGACGGCUAACUCUGUGCCAGCAGCCGCGGUAAUACAGAGGUCUCAAGCGUUGUUCGGAAUCACUGGGCGUAAAGCGUGCGUAGGCUGUUUCGUAAGUCGUGUGUGAAAGGCGCGGGCUCAACCCGCGGACGGCACAUGAUACGGCGAGACUAGAGAAAUGGG